rnacentral:rRNA from 1 species
AGAGUUUGAUCAUGGCUCAGAUUGAACGCUGGCGGAAUGCUUUACACAUGCAAGUCGAGCGGCAGCGCGGGGCAACCUGGCGGCGAGCGGCGAACGGGUGAGUAAUGCAUCGGAACAUGUCCAUGUCGUGGGGGAUAGCCCGGCGAAAGCCGGAUUAAUACCGCAUACGCCCGAGAGGGAAAGCAGGGGACCGCAAGGCCUUGCGCGAUUGGGUUGGCCGAUGUCCGAUUAGCUUGUUGGUGAGGUAAAGGCUUACCAAGGCGAUGAUCGGUAGCUGGUCUGAGAGGAUGAUCAGCCACACUGGGACUGAGACACGGCCCAGACUCCUACGGGAGGCAGCAGUGGGGAAUUUUGGACAAUGGGGGCAACCCUGAUCCAGCCAUUCCGCGUGAGUGAAGAAGGCCUUCGGGUUGUAAAGCUCUUUUGUCCGGAACGAAACGGGCGGCCCUAAUACGGUCGACUACUGACGGUACCGGAAGAAUAAGCACCGGCUAACUACGUG